rnacentral:rRNA from 1 species
AUUGAACGCUGGCGGCAUGCCUUACACAUGCAAGUCGAACGGUAACGCGGGGCAACCUGGCGACGAGUGGCGAACGGGUGAGUAAUACAUCGGAACGUGCCCAGUAGUGGGGGAUAGCCCGGCGAAAGCCGGAUUAAUACCGCAUACGACCUACGGGUGAAAGCGGGGGAUCGCAAGACCUCGCGCUAUUGGAGCGGCCGAUGUCAGAUUAGGUAGUUGGUGGGGUAAAGGCCUACCAAGCCGACGAUCUGUAGCUGGUCUGAGAGGACGACCAGCCACACUGGGACUGAGACACGGCCCAGACUCCUACGGGAGGCAGCAGUGGGGAAUUUUGGACAAUGGCGCAAGCCUGAUCCAGCCAUGCCGCGUGCGGGAAGAAGGCC